rnacentral:rRNA from 1 species
GCCGUACCAUGCUGAAUAUACCGGUUCUCGUUAGAUCACCGAAGUCAAGCAUCAUUGGGCGCGGUCAGUACUUGGGUGGGUGACCACCUGGGAACACCACGUGCCGUU